ACGUCACUCGGGGGCGCUGGCUUUAGAAUCAGUGCGUGGCAGUACUGAGAGUUUGGCCACAAACAACUGACAAGCAAAGUCACAUUCCAACGAACAAGCCUGCUGUGGGCCUUACGUGUCUAUGCUGCUCCUGUCGCCCACUCAUGAGAUCCACGACGACCACCCACGCGUGGACUUCCUGCAAAUUGACCCAAGACCCAGCACAGCCGUCAUGGAUCAGUCUAUCGCCGUCCAAGACACCCUGCAAGGAGACGAAAACUGCAUCAUAGCUCUACAAUGUGACGUCCUCACGCAUGACAAGACUGAAAGCCGACUGCUGGGAUUGGUGGAGUCUGUGAAACAGCAUGCAAUCUUUAUUUAUACCCAUCGGAGGAUGGCCAUUACGGCGGAUGACGUGUCUCUGGAGGACGUCGUACCGAUCGACCUCGACUUUGCUGUUGUCGAGAUUUCCUCCCCAGAGGAGCUGGCACUUGUUGGUGCUGAUACGAGAGUGCGAGUGAGUUACAAGGACGAGAGUCUGGAGCUUCGACUUCCCUUUGGCUCCCACUCGCGACUCUUUCUUGGCGAGGUCAUCCGGGCAUGGAGCGAUGUUUGCAAGUUUCCGACGCAAGAAGCCAAGUUUGAGUGGAUCAACAAAUACCGAGCUGCCACCAGAGGCCAGGGACUUGUCAAACAAGCCCUCGCACCCCUCGGCACAACGUUGAAUAAACUCAACCAGCACAGGAAAACAGCAGAGAAAUCGACAGACAAGAAAAAGCGGAGCUUGGAACACAUGAAAGGCUCCAACAGCACGACGCACAACUCCAGCACAGAGAGUCACGGUGUCUCCAGCCAGGGCGUCUCCAGCCGGGACGAGCGGGAUGACCUGGUGCGCUCCUCCAGCCACAUGGCGUCCAACAAAUCACACAUUCUAGCCAUGCCGCAGUUCGGCUUACGAGAUAACCUCAUCAGGUGCGAGCUGCUGAAGAACGAGGACCUGUACAUUUACAGAGAGCAUUUCAGCUUUUUCCUGGGCACGUACAAUGUAAACGGGCAGACACCGAAAGAAAGCCUCCGUCCAUGGCUGAGCUGUACGCUCGACCCUCCUGACAUGUACUGUGUGGGUUUCCAGGAGCUCGACCUCAGCAAAGAAGCUUUCUUCUUCAACGACACUCCCAAAGAGUUGGAGUGGACAAAGGCCGUGUCUGAUGCCUUGCAUCCUGAUGCGAAGUAUGCCUUAGUGAAGUUGAUGCGGCUGGUGGGCAUUAUGCUGCUCUUCUAUGUAAAGAAGGAGCACGCCGAGUUCAUCUCAGAUGUGGAGGUGGAGUCGGUGGGAACUGGCAUUAUGGGGAGGAUGGGAAACAAAGGUGCAGUGGGCCUCCGCUUUCGCUUUCACAAUUCUGACAUCUGCGUGAUCAACUGUCACCUGGCGGCGCACGUGGAAGAGUAUGAGAGGCGCAAUCAGGACUACAAAGACAUUUGCAGCCGCCUGCAGUUUCGCCAGAUUGACCCUACACAGCCACCGCUGACCAUCAUGAAGCAUGAUGUGGUCUUAUGGAUCGGAGACCUUAACUACAGGAUCAGUGACCUGGAUGUCAGCAACGUGAAGGAUCUCAUCAGCAAGAAGGACUUUGAGAUGCUGCACACGUAUGAUCAGCUCAAGAGGCAGAUCGAUGAGGAAGCAGUGUUCGUUGGCUUCGUGGAGGGGGAGAUUGAUUUCCAGCCCACCUACAAAUACGACACCGGUUCCGAUACGUGGGAUACGAGUGAAAAAUGUCGUGUGCCUGCGUGGUGCGACCGUAUCCUGUGGCGAGGCAAGGACAUCAGUCAGCAGCAUUACCAGAGUCACAUGACACUGAAGACCAGCGACCACAAACCUGUCAGUUCCCUGCUCAUCGUUGGGAUCAAGAGAGUUAAUGCGGAAUCCUACAAGAAAACCUUUGAAGAGAUUGUUCGCAAUUUAGACAAAAUGGAGAACGAGUGCAUUCCAUCUGUAACCUUGUCCAAACGAGAGUUCCACUUUGAGAAUGUGAAGUACAUGGAGCACCAAGCCAGGACGCUGAGUCUCGUCAACGACGGCCAGGUGCCGUGUCAGUUUGAAUUCAUCCGGAAGCCAAACGAGGCCACGUACUGCAAGCCUUGGCUCACCGCCAAUCCCCCCAAAGGGUUCAUCGCUCAGGGCGCUUCUGUGGACAUCGACCUUGAGGUUUUCGUGAACCGCGCCACAGCGCCUGAGUUAAAUUCUGGCAAGCAAGAUAUCGAAGACAUCUUGGUCCUCCACCUAGAGCGCGGCAAAGAUUACUUCAUCUCGGUGACGGGAAGCUACCUGCCCAGUUGCUACGGCACCCCCAUCCACGUAUUGUGUCGGCUAAGGGAGCCCAUCCAGGACAUGGCUCAGGAGACCCUCCGUCAACUGAUGGCGACGUCCGUGAAUGAAAACACAGGAAGCAGCGAAAAGCCUCUCGACAUCCCGAAAGAACUCUGGAUGAUGGUGGAUCACUUGUUUCGCAAUGCAAUCAAACAGGAAGACAUAUUUCAGCAACCAGGACUCCGGAGCGAAUUUUCUGAAAUACGGGACUGCCUUGACACUGGCAUGGUGGAUUCUCUCUCUGGCAGUAACCACUCAGUAGCAGAGGCCUUGCUUCUCUUCCUGGAUGCCCUUCCAGAGCCGGUCAUUCCCUACGCUUUCUACCAGCAGUGCCUCGAAUGUUGCUCCGAUGCGAUUCAGUGUGAGAAGGUAAUUUCCAUGCUACCUCAGUGCCACCGAAAUGUUUUUAAUUAUCUAACUGCCUUUCUGCGGGAGCUGCUGAAACAUUCUGCGAGCAAUCGAUUAGAUGUUACCAUCGUAGUAUACAACAAAAACAAAGGAAGUGACCUUGCUGUUCCAAUACUUUUGGAGGGGACUGAACGUCACGAGUGAAAAUCUCUGCCUACCUCUCCGCUCCCGCACGAGAGCUGUCAACAGUAGUAGCUGUCAUAAGGGCCUUUUCUGGACACUCAUAUGACAAAACCAAGCCACCAUCUUUGCCUCAAUGUUCCUGCGGUCGCCAACCAAGCAGGACCUUGCGGAGAAGAAGAAGGCACGAGAGUUCUUUCAGCACUUCUUAGGCCAGGCCUCACCCUAGACAGAGGACCACGUUUAAAUAAAACACUAAAAGAAGAAAGCUAUUGUCCUAUAUUUGAAAUAAACUGUUAAUAAUUUUGCAUAUCUUUUUGAGUAGUCUUCAGACACAUUAAAAAAGGUGUUGUAUACAGUAAAUAUGAGCGACUAUAUGAUAUGUUUGCAAUCUGUGGAUUUUGUUUCUUGUUGAACGUCUUUUUAUUUAAAAUAUAUAUAUUUUAAUGUUUCUGAUCGACAAUAUAAUUGUUUUAUAAAUAAAAAGUUGUUGGAAAAGUA